rnacentral:rRNA from 1 species
UACGUAGGGGGCAAGCGUUGUCCGGAUUUACUGGGCGUAAAGGGCGCGUAGGCGGCAAUUCAAGUCAGUUGUGAAAUCUCCGAGCUUAACUCGGAACGGUCAACUGAUACUGUUUUGCUAGAGUACAGAAAGGGCAAUCGGAAUUCUUGGUGUAGCGGUGAAAUGCGUAGAUAUCAAGAGGAACACCUGAGGCGAAGGCGGGUUGCUAGGCUGAUACUGACGCUGAGGCGCGAAAGCUAGGGUAGCAAACGGG